CACGCCGUAAACGAUGAAUACUAGGUGUAGGAGGUAUCGACCCCUUCUGUGCCGUCGCAAACGCAAUAAGUAUUCCACCUGGGGAGUACGGCCGCAAGGCUGAAACUCAAAGGAAUUGACGGGGGCCCGCACAAGCAGUGGAGUAUGUGGUUUAAUUCGACGCAACGCGAAGAACCUUACCAGGGCUUGACAUCCUCUGACAGCUGUAGAGAUACAGUUUCCCUUCGGGGCAGAGAGACAGGUGG
rnacentral:rRNA from 1 species